AAGCAAGAAGCGAUCCAUUGCAUUCAGUUUCGACCUGACCCUAGAUAAAUAUUAUCCUUGCUUU
rnacentral:tRNA from 1 species